UACGAAGGGGGCUAGCGUUGUUCGGAAUCAUUGGGCGUAAAGCGCGUGUAGGCGGCCCGGUAAGUCCGCUGUGAAAGUCCAGGGCUCAACCCUGGGAUGCCGGUGGAUACUGUCGGGCUAGAGUGCGGUAGGGGAGAUUGGAAUUCCUGGUGUAGCGGUGGAAUGCGCAGAUAUCAGGAGGAACACCAAUGGCGAAGGCAGAUCUCUGGGCCGUAACUGACGCUGAGGAGCGAAAGCAUGGGGAGCGAACAGGAUUAGAAACCC
rnacentral:rRNA from 1 species